CGCCAAUCACCGCGCAGAGCGGAGGAGGGGGCGUGGCCAGCCGGCCUUCCUGCUCCGGUGGCGGCCGAGCCCGCGGCCACCCCAGCAGGAGCGAGGGGACCCCCGGGACCACCCAGGAGCGAGGGGACCCCCGGGAGCUGCCGGGGCUGAGGCAGAGCAGAGGGAGCCCCGGGACCACCCAGGAGCGAGGGGACCCCCGGGAGCUGCCGGGGCUGAGGCAGAGCAGAGGGACCCCCGGGACACCUGUGCAGCAUGGCGCAGUGGCAGGAGGUGCAGAGCUUGGCCAACACUUACCUGGAGCAGGUGCACCAGCUGUACGCGGGCUCGGCGCUGCCCAUGGCUGUGCGCCAGUGCUUGGCUGCCUGGAUCGAGAGCCAGAACUGGCUCCAGGCGGCAGAGCCGCUCUCCUCCCAGUCCCGGAUGCUGUUCCACUCCUUACUGAUGCUACUGGGAGAGUGCCUGGGCAGCCCGGGCUCGGGCCACGAGGAUUUCAUGCUGAAGCACAACCUGCGCAAGGCCCACCGCGACCUCCAGGCCGAGUUCGAGGAGAGCCCGGAGAGAUUCGCCAACCUGGUAGCCAACCUGCUGCAGGAGGAGCGGCGGAUCCUGCGUCUGGGGCAGGCGGGGGGGCAGGGGGGCUCGGUCCCCGCACCCAGCCUGGCCCCGGAGAGCGACCGGGAGCAGCGGAUCCGGCGGCGCUUGGCCGAGUUCCACACGGCCCUGCAGGAAGCCGAACGAGCCUUCAGGCACCUGGAGGAUCUGCAGGAUGCCUUCGAUUUCUGCUACAAGGUGCACUACCAGCCAGGUGAGGAGAGGAACAGGGACCCCCAGUACGUCCAGCAGCUCCAAGCCCUCCAGGCCAAACUGCAGAACCUGGACCGGCAGCGGCGGGAGAUGCUGGCUCAGAUGCAGCAGCUGCUGGGGCGCAGCGAGACCCUGCAGGAGCUGCUGCAGCAGGAGCUGGGGGGCUGGCGGCAGCGGCAGCAGCGCCUGUGCCUGGGGGGCCCCGGUGACGCCAGCCUGCGCCCGCUGGAGACCUGGUUCACGGAGCUGGGCCAGGGGCUGUUCCAGCUGCGGCAGCUGCUGCGGGCGCUGAGCGACCUGCGGCAGAAGGUGACCUACGAGAGGGACCCGCUGGUGGCAGAGACGCCCCUGCUGGAGCAGCGGCUGCUGGAGCAGCUCACGCACCUGCUGAAGAGCGCCUUCGUGGUGGAGCAGCAGCCCAGCACCCCCAACGCCAGCAAGCGCCCGCUCGUGCUCCGCACCGCCAGCAAGUUCUCGACCCGCGCCCGCCUGCUCGUGCGGCUGCACGACCGCAACCACCGCAUGGAGGCCAAGAUCCACAUCGACAGGGACCCGCCCAACAUCAAAGGCUUCCGCAGGUUCAACAUCCUCACGUCGAGCAGCAAAACGCUCCUGGCCGGGGACAGUCCCCAGGAGGGGCUGGUCUGCGACUUCCAGUACCUCACGCUGAAGGAGCAGAAGGACAGCAGGUCCGGCAAGGGCAAAGGCACCAGCGGUGAGGGUCCCCUGGUCGUGACAGAGGAGCUGCACCUCAUCACCUUCACGCUGGCCUACGCCUACUGCGGGCUGGAGCUGGAGCUGGAGACCACCACGCUGCCCUUCGUCAUCAUCUCCAACAACAACCAGUUCUCCAGCGCCUGGGCCUCCAUCCUCUGGUUCAACAUGCUCAGCUCUGACCCCAAGGCCCAGCAGUUCUUCUCGUCCCCACUGCCGGCCCCGUGGCCCCAGCUGGCCAAGGUGCUGAGCUGGCAGUUCGAGAGCGUGGCCGAGCGGGGGCUCAGCCAGGAGAACCUGCUCAUGCUGGCCGAGAAACUGCUGGGCUCCAAGCCAUCACCGAACAGCGCCGUGGCCUGGCCCAAGUUCUCAAAGGACGGAGCCGCCGGCUUCUCCUUCUGGGCCUGGCUGGACGGGAUCCUGGGGCUGCUGCAGGAGCACCUCAAGCAGCUCUGGAAGGACGGCCUCAUCCUGGGCUUCGUGAGCCGCAAACAAGAGAAGAAACUGCUCAAGUCCAAGCGGACGGGGACGUUCCUGCUGCGCUUCAGCGAGAGCGUCUUCGGGGGCGUCACCUUCACCUGGGUGGAGCACCACGAGAGAGGAUCCCCCACUUUCCACGCCGUGGAUCCCUACACGGCCUCGGAGCUGGUGUCGCUGGCGCUGCCCGACAUCAUCCGCGACUACCAGAUGAUGAUGGAGGAGAACAUUCCCGAGAACCCCCUCCAGUACCUGUACCCCGACACCCCCCGCGACGAGGCUUUCGGGCCCUACUACAGCCAAAGGCAGGAGGGGACCCUGAGCGAGUCCCAGAAAUACCUGAGCCGGCGCCUCAUCCGCGUCUCCUCCAGGCAGCCCAGCAAGUGGCAAACGGAAGAGGAGCUGGUGGUGACCACGGAAAACCUGGAGACGCUGCAGCUGCAGCCCGGAGGGCAAGGGGCACAGCAGGCUGGUGGCCUGGCAUUGCCACAGCCCCAGAGCUCAGGGACACCUCAGGUCACCCCUGGGAACUUGGGGACCCCCCACGGGGUGGUCACGAGCCCAGGGAUAGUGCAGGUGGUGGCCACAAGCCCGGGGAUACCACAGGUCACCCCUGGGAAUUUGGGGACCCCUCAGGUGGUGGCCACAAGCCCGGGGAUACCACAGGUCACCCCUGGGAACUUGGGGACCCCUCAGGUGGUGGCCACAAGCCCGGGGAUACCACAGGUCACCCCUGGGAAUUUGGGGACCCCUCAGGUGGUGGCCACAAGCCCGGGGAUACCACAGGUCACCCCUGGGAACUUGGGGACCCCUCAGGUGGUGGCCACAAGCCCGGGGAUACCACAGGUCACCCCUGGGAACUUGGGGACCCCUCAGAUGGUGGCCAUGAGCCCGGGAACCCUGCAGGUGGUGGCCACGAGCCCAGGGGCACUUCAGGUCACCCCUGGGAACCUGGGGACCCCCCACGGGAUGGCCACGAGCCCGGGAACCCUGCAGCCCACGGGGAUGCUGCAAGCACAGCCCCAAAGCCUGCAGCGGGUGGGAUCGGGGGUCCCCGACACGCGGGGGACACUGCCAGUGGCCCCGGGGGCUGCGGGGACUGUGCAGGUGCUGCCCGCGGCGCUGGGCACGCUGCGGCCGGGGGCUGCGGAGCCGCUGCAGGGCCCCGAGGAGCAGAGGGGGACGCUGCCACCGGAGCUGAGGGACCUGGAGCUGCUGCCCGGCGGCCAGGACAUGCAGGAGCUGCUGCAGUCGCUGGAGGGGCUGGAGCCGGGCGCAGGAACGCUGGAGACGCUGGAGGCGGCGGAGCUGAUGCCCAGCACGGUGGAGAGCUUGGACGGGAGUUUCCAGCUGAGCCUCGGCAGCGCCGCGCUCCUGGACCAGCACGACCCGUUCCUGCCGCAGCCCGAGGACUCGGCCCCACCCGCCGUCUGCUCCCUCUUCUCCACCGACUUCCCGCCGCUCCACAUCGAUGCCAGCGACUUCCAGUGACCCCUCCCCGGCCCCUUCCCUGUAAAUAAACCCCUUCCCACCCCCCCCGCUGCCCACGGGAUCCCUGGGACCCCCAGGUGCAUCCUUGAGCAUCCCUGGGAUCCCCAGACACCCCCUGGGACCCCCAGACACCCCCGGGGACCCUCAGAUGCAUCCCUGAGCACCCCUGGGGCCCCCACACACACCCUGGGACCACCAGACACCCCCUGGGACCCCCAGGUGCAUCCCUGAGCAUCCCUGGGACCCCCAGACACCUCUGGGACCCCCAGCCACCUCUGGGACCACCAGACACCCC